rnacentral:lncRNA from 1 species
GGGUCUUCUUGGUCCUCGUCCAGGUUUUCCUAAAGAACAUGUCUCCUGCCCACUUUCCCAUCAUCUACGACAGCUUGUCCCUCUGUGGAUCAGCAUCUCCUGGUGUUCGCAGUUGUAUGAGGCACUGGACGCCAGUACCGUCAUGGGCGCUGGGCAUCUGCCAUGGGGAGCCUACAUCUCAGUGGCAGAAGUAGCCACUGGACAAGGGAACAAGAGCUGCAAAGUAUGUCAGAGCAUUUAAGGAUGGGACUAGAGCCUGCCGUGGUUGAGGUACCUGGGUUCUGUUUUAUGCUGGGUGGUGAGGAAGGAGACAUUUGAGCAGAGACCUGAAGGCAGCUGGGAACCUGCUGACACAGGAACAGCAUGUGGCAGGAGUGUGCCAGGCCACCAGGAGGCCACCGUGGCAGAUGCAGAGUGAGAGGGGGAGGAUGGAGAUGAGGGCCAGGCUGCCCAGGGCUCUCGGGCAGUAGGAGAACUUUGCUUUGGACAGAUUGGUCCAUCCACCUUCAGGAAGGUAUUAAGGCAGAUCCAGCUGAAGCUCAAUGGGGUUCCAUCUGGCUGGGUGCAGAGAAGAGCCCGUGCAAAGGUGCAUAGGUGAGCACGCUCACCGACCACACUGUGUGUGUUUGUAUCCAUUUGACCCAAAGUGCAAUGUCCAUUUUCCUGUAGUGAUUUGGGGACCUGCCCCUUCUUCUUUGUGAGCAAGGAACCUUUUGUGCCUGUUGGAAGAAGGCAUGGCCUGGGUGCUGACGUGCAGCCCUGCUGCUUGGCUUCGCUCUGCCCCAAGGUCAGGGCCAGGCGCUGUGUCUCCUGUGUGUGCAGGCAGGCUCUUACUGUUGGGAGCAGCAGUUCAUUUGUAUCCUCUGUUGUCCCCAGUGAGGAGGAAGGCAGAUUUCAGGAUACGUGGUGCUGCACUUGGUCAAAGGGCCUGACACCAACUGUCUCUUAUCCUGAUGUUGACAGUUCUUUGGCCACACCCGCAGCAUAUGGAGGUUCCCAGGCUAGGGGCUGGCAGCUACGGCUCUGAUUUGGUCCCCAGCCUGGAAACCUCCAUAUGCUUCGGCUGCAGCACUAAAAAAAGCAAAUAAAUAAAUAAAUCCUCACUAAUGCAGCUUAAAAUGCAGAUAGUAUGUCCUGGAGAUUUCUAACCAUCCAGAAGAACUGUGCCUGGGGAAUGCUGGCCAACUCAGAUUUGUUUGUUUUCCUCUUGAAUUAUGGCAUGCAGUCCAUGUGCAGUGGCAGAACCCCUGAGCCAGAAGGAACCUCACUGCUAAAGGUCUAAGUCCCUUGAUUUUUACACAAGGACUUGGGCACAGGAGAGCUUACCCCAGGCUGUCAGGCAAAUAGGAGCUGAGGGCUGGAAUGCAGGGUCCCUGAAGUGGCAGAGCUGAGAGGAGGCAGCAGCAAAAGCCACACCCAGGGUGUACAUAGUGUGUGGUUGCCUCUUCAUUGUCAAAAAUUUGGUAAUAUUUUCUGGGUAUCAAGAAAGAAAACAGAGGAGUUCCCGUUGUGGCUCAGCAGGCUAAGAACCUGACUAGUGUCCACUAGGACAAGGGUUCGCUCCCUGGCCUCGCUCAGUGGGUCAAGGAUUUGGCAUUGCCAUAUGCUGCGGUGUAGUUCACAGAUGCGGCUCAGAUCCAGCAUUGCCGUGGCUGUGGUAUAGACUGGCAGGUGUAGCUCUUAUUCAACCCCUAGCCUGGGAACCUCCAUAUGUCACAGGUGCAGCCCUAAAAAGGGGAGAGAGAGAGAGAGAGAGAGAGAGAGAGAGAGAGAGAGAAAGAAAGAAAGGGAAACUGAGUCCUUCCUGUAGGUUCACAACUCAUUCUGAGUAAUACAUGUAUAUUUUUAGGAUUGUUGUCAACUCUGGGAAAGGAAAUUGGAGUAGCAGAGGGGGUCUUCUCUGGCUGCGAUUAAAUAUCUCUUACAAAUCGUACAAAACCCUAUGGCCACGUGGUCACAUUGCUGGGCCCUGCUUGGGCCGGAUGAGGCCAAGAGGACGGGCCGUGGUCAGCAAGCCUCUGAGCAUCCCAUGCAGAAAUAUCUCACCCUAUGGUUCAUGCAGGGCAGCUUAGAGCUCUGGUGCACAAAAGCUUCCCUAAGCACCCAUCAUGUCUGCUGAAAUGUAACGUGCUGUGCACCCUUUAUGUCAUCGCGUAAUGUAUCUCAGAAUGAAAAAGCUCUGAAAAUUCCAUGUUCUGCAAAUGAAAAAUGAUAGAAUUGUCACUAUCAUUGUGUUUAGCACUCAGGUAAAUAUUUUAUUGAUUUUUGGCUAAAAGUCCUUACAGGUCGAGCGAGUUGGACGGGACCUUUAAAAUACACAGAUAAGGAGUUCUUGUGGCUUAGUGGGUUAAGAAUUCUCAGUGUCCAGGAGGAUUCAGGUUUGAUCCCUGGCCUCACUCAGUGGGUUAAGCCAAAAGCUGCAGCUUAGGCCACCCAUAUGGCUCAAUCCAGCAUUGCUGUGGCUGAGGCGUAGGGCUACAGCUGCAGCUCUGAUUCAACCUCUAGCCUGGGAACUUCCAUAUGUCGCAGGUGUGGCACUAAAAAUUAAAAAAAAAAAAAAAAAAAAAAAAAAAAAAAA